rfam:Triticum urartu cultivar G1812 contig681814, whole genome shotgun sequence.
ACGAUACUCCCUCCAUUUGAAAUUACUUGUCGCAGAAAUCGAUGUAUAUAGACGUAUUUUAGUUCUAGAUACAUCCAUUGUUAUCCAUUGCUACGACAAGUAAUUUACUACAGAUGGAGUAUUUU